GUGGGGAAUAUUGGACAAUGGGCGCAAGCCUGAUCCAGCCAUGCCGCGUGUGUGAAGAAGGCCUUCGGGUUGUAAAGCACUUUUGUCCGGGAAGAAAUCUUCCAGGUUAAUACCCUGGGAGGCUGACGGUACCGGAAGAAUAAGCACCGGCUAACUUCGUGCCAGCAGCCGCGAUAAUACGAAGGGUGCAAGCGUUAAUCGGAAUUACUGGGCGUAAAGCGUGCGUAGGUGGUUCGUUAAGUUUGCCGUUAAAGCCCCGGGCUCAACCUGGGAAUGGCGGUGGAUACUGGCGGGCUAGAGUGCGGUAGAGGGUGGUGGAAUUCCCGGUGUAGCAGUGAAAUGCGUAGAGAUCGGGAGGAACAUCUGUGGCGAAGGCGGCCACCUGGACCAGCACUGACACUGAGGCACGAAAGCGUGGGGAGCAAACAGGAUUAGAAACCCUUGUAGUCC
rnacentral:rRNA from 1 species